UACGUAGGUGGCGAGCGUUGUCCGGAUUUACUGGGCGUAAAGGGAGCGUAGGCGGUCUAUUAAGUGGGAUGUGAAAUACCCGGGCUUAACUCGGGAAUUGCAUUCCAAACUGGUAGACUAGAGUGCAGGAGAGGAAAGUGGAAUUCCAAGUGUAGCGGUGAAAUGCGUAGAGAUUUGGAGGAACACCAGUGGCGAAGGCGACUUUCUGGACUGAUACUGACGCUGAUGCUCGAGAGCGUGGGGAG
rnacentral:rRNA from 1 species